GAUGAAGAACGCAGUGAAAUGCGAUAAGUAAUGUGAAUUGCAGAAUUCAGUGAAUCAUCGAAUCUUUGAACGCACAUUGCGCCCCUUGGUAUUCCGAGGGGCAUGCCUGUUCGAGCGUCAUUAUAACCCCUCAAGCUCAGCUUGGUGUUGGGGCCUGCCGCACGGGCAGCCCUUAAAAUCAGUGGCGGUGCUAUCUGGCUCUAAGCGUAGUAAUUCUUCUCGCUAUAGAGUCCCGGUGGAUGCUUGCCAUUAACCCCCAAUUUUCUAUGGUUGACCUCGGAUCAGGUAGGGAUACCCGCUGAACUUAAGCAUAUCAAUAAGCGGAGGA
rnacentral:misc_RNA from 1 species